rnacentral:rRNA from 1 species
UAUGAACGCUGGCGGCAUGCCUAACACAUGCAAGUCGAACGAAGCCUUCGGGCUUAGUGGCGCACGGGUGCGUAACGCGUGGGAAUCUGCCCUUGGGUUCGGAAUAACUCUCCGAAAAGAGUGCUAAUACCGGAUGAUGUCGAAAGACCAAAGAUUUAUCGCCCAGGGAUGAGCCCGCGUAGGAUUAGCUAGUUGGUGAGGUAAAAGCUCACCAAGGCGACGAUCCUUAGCUGGUCUGAGAGGAUGAUCAGCCACACUGGGACUGAGACACGGCCCAGACUCCUACGGGAGGCAGCAGUGGGGAAUAUUGGACAAUGGGCGAAAGCCUGAUCCAGCAAUGCCGCGUGAGUGAUGAAGGCCUUAGGGUUGUAAAGCUCUUUCGGGUGGGACGAUGAUGACGGUACCACCAGAAGAAGCCCCGGCUAACUUCGUGCCAGCCGCCGCUGUAA